rnacentral:rRNA from 1 species
UACGAAGGGGGCUAGCGUUGUUCGGAAUCACUGGGCGUAAAGCGCACGUAGGCGGAUUGUUAAGUCAGGGGUGAAAUCCUGGAGCUCAACUCCAGAACUGCCUUUGAUACUGAGGAUCUCGAGUCCGGGAGAGGUGAGUGGAACUCCGAGUGUAGAGGUGAAAUUCGUAGAUAUUCGGAAGAACACCAGUGGCGAAGGCGGCUCACUGGCCCGGUACUGACGCUGAUGUGCGAAAGCGUGGGGAGCAAACAGG